UAUUCAAUAUUCCUUCAGUCAGCAAUAAUCAUGUUAUAAACCUUAUAAAAGCAUAAAAUACAUAUAAACAAGUUAACUAUUUAAUAUUCUUACAUUCCCCUCUUUGAGCAAUAAAACAAUUGCUCAUCUUAUCGAUAAAAUCUUACCAGGACAGAGAAACUUCCACAUGGUAUUUUCAGGGGUGCUAGUCACUCCCUGCGGGACUUUCAUUAAUUUCUUCACCUCGAUUCCCAUGUGGUAAUUCCUAAGGCCCAGUUUAAAAAUGGGUUGAUACUCUACAGUGGCAGAGAGGAGAAUUUCUAAUUGUUUCUGUUCUGCAUUAUGGAUUAAUUUCUGUACUCUCUUCCUCAAUGUACAAGUAAAGUGACAGUUAUAUAAAAUCAUACACAAUAAAAUCAGGACUAUAAUAACAAAAUGAUAUAAGAAUGAUUUCAUUAUCUGGGAUCCAGUAGGGGACCAACCAGUAAAGCAUUGUACCAAUUAUGGGCUAAAUCAUUCUGAAUUUGUGAACUCACCUUAAGGAGUUCUCCUUUUAGGAUAUGUGUGGCUACCUGUGUGUGUUAUCUUUGGGAAAAAUAUAGUCCCCUGUGUAUGUGGGUGCCCACCAGGUUAAAUUCUUGGCAAAAAGAUCAUAAACUGGUACUGGUAAUGUGUUAAAUUGACAAGCUAAUUUAACAUCCUUUGAUGUUGUAUGAUAUAAUGUAAAAUAGCAUGAGCAUGAAAAAUGUGAAACAUUACCAGUUAACCAUCCAUUGCAUUUACUGGAUUGGGGUUUUAGAAGUAACCAUUCAUUAUCUGUGAGGUUACGCUUUCCUCUAAUCUUCUCUAGUUUGGGAAUCAUUAGUGUGUUUUCUAAUGCCAAUCCUUGUUGUUGUAUCCAUAAAUACCUGAUGGCACAAGUACUCCAGUUACUUAGACCUCUAGUGAAUUUCAUAGUUGCAACAGUUAAAUUAUCUAAAUAAUUAUACAUUGAUUUAUCUAAAUCCAAUCCUGUAACCUGUGAUUUAACAACAAUUGGAGCCCAGUUUGCAGUAGCAUGAAAACCAGUCCCUAUAUGCAUACUGGCUGUGUUUAACUUAUUCUUGAGGGUCUCCAUAUCUAUAACUAUUUAGUAUACCCAUAGUGGUUCCAGCACCUCCUAACAGUGUGUCAUACCAUUCCCUUUUCUGCCUUUUGUUUGUUGUGUUACAUAAUGUUACAACAGGAGUAGUGAUUUUUAAUGACACAUGUACAGCUUGUAAGAAGGCAGUUGUAUUAAUACAUGUGGACGGAAUAGGUGUGUGUGUGUCGUUGUUGACUUUUGGUUAUAUGGUAGAGGAUAAAGGACAGUAAUAAGGUGUAAAAAUAUAAGGUAGUGUAUAGUUCUCAAUUGUAGUGUUGUUCAUAAUGACUAACAUUUGUCCCCUUCUCCAAUUAAUGAUACCAGUUAUAUAAUCAUUAUUAAAAGUAAUAAGGCCUAUCUGUUUACAUUGAUAUGCAACCUUAACUGUGCACAUUUCUGCGUUAUAAGAUCUAACAAUUUUCUGUGAACCUUCAAACAAACAUAAUGCAUCGGUUUCAUUAGCUGUAGACACAUUUCAUAUGGGUAACUGGUACUUAUAAGGGUUACUAUUUGUCCAAUUCAUCCAAAUGCGUUCAGUGAAUGAAUGAUUGCAUAUUGCAUGCUGAUAGAAAGUUGGUGGAGAAAGGUUCUUGAGGGGGCGUGUGUGACGAAUACUAGAUGAGGGGCUAAGGCCUAAUUGGGCUGGGGGUAUUGAAGAAUUGUUCAUCAUGUCAGAGUCUUUUUCCAGAAACAAACAGGUUUCAAACUUGCCAUUGACUUGUACUCAUAAUGGCAUUCAAGGAACAAUAUCAGAGGGAGUAUAACAACUCCAGAAAGCAUAGCGCACAACAUAAUCUUGGUCUCAGGUACGUAUGAUCCUCUCAAUCUACGAUAUGGUGUGAAAACCAUGAUGCUUCGCUGAGGAGAAAUUCUUCUGUUUCCGAGCGAGGAGUGGUGUUGUCUUCCUUGGUUCCCCUCUUUGGACACAGCUUCACUCGGGAUGCGUGAAUCCAGAUGUCAUGGGAAUCUGUGAGCAGCGGUUCUGGGUACAGCAAUCACAGUAGCAGGUGGUCCAAAAGGGUAUCCUCCUUUCUUGGUCCUGUUCAACUGACGGAUAUACACCUUGUCACCGGGAUGGUAUGAAUGAGUAGGUUCCUGUGAAGGUAAGGGAAAACUGCGAAGAAACAUUGUCAUACAUACCAUUCGGUUUUAUCAACAAUUCCUGUACAUAUUGUUCUUGUAUUAGCUGUAAAUCCACAGACAUUAUAACAAGCGGUUCCCUGGCCCAGGGUGUGGGAAAAGGUCAUCCCAUCAAAAUCUCAAAUGGAGAUAAUUUAGUCACCUUGUGAGGAAUCACUCUUAUCUCAGCUAAAAUAGCUGGUAGAUAUCUAGUCCAAUUUACCCAUGUUCCUGGGUAAAUUCUGGGCUUUUCCUUAAUAGUCCUAUUCAUCCUUUCAACUACCCCUGUAUUCUGUGGAUGAUAGGGUAUAUGAAACUGCCAGGUAACUUGCAAGAAUUUAGCAAGUUCCUGGGCAACCCCACUUGCAAAAACCGGGCCAUUAUCAGAGCCAAUCUGCAGAGGGCAGCAAUACCGGGGAAUAAUUUCAGUAACAAUAAUCUUCACUAGCAUCUUCCCUAGAUAUCACAAAGGCCUCAUGCCAUCUACUAAACUGAUUAACUAUGACCAGUAAGUAUUGCUGUUUCUUACCAAUUUUGGAUACAUGAAUAAAAUCAAUCUGUAAGUGUGUAAAAAGAGCAGUGUUCACACGAUCUUACAAAAGACUGUACAUGCUGCCUGAGAUUCCUAAUAUAAAAUGAAUUCAUGAAGAAUUGAAUGGUGCUUGCUAUGUGCCUGACUGAUGAAAAUAAAGCAGCUUGCUUCAAGUAUGCCUAUUCUUCAAGUAUGCCUAUUCUCCCCUCUUUAGAGAACAGAUCAUUUUGAUCUUUCUCUAAACCUUGUUUAAUCCAAAAGACAGAUUCUGGGUAUUAAAAAAAAGAAUCUCAUAACCACUUAAGUGCUGGGCUGUCAUGUGUUGUGUGGUGAGAUUUGUUAUCAGCUGAGUGACCUGGUGACUGGCAUGAAGUAUUGUAGGAUGCCCUAGUGUGAUAGUAGUAGCAGUUUCAACAGCCAUUGCACAUGCUAUCAAUGCUCUGAGACACGCCGGCAUACCCUGUACCGGAGCUCGAACUACUUUGGAAAAGAAUGCUAUGGGACGCAUAC